AGCGUAUAUUAAAGUUGUUGCAGUUAAAAAGCUCGUAGUUGAAUUUCGGGGUCAGUAGGUUGGUCAUGCCACUGGUAUGUACUGGUCUCACUGAUUCCUCCUUCCUGAUGAACUAUAAUGCCAUUAAUUUGGCGUUGCAGGGAAUCUGGACUGUUACUUUGAAAAAAUUAGAGUGUUUAAAGCAGGCUAACGCCUGAAUACAUUAGCAUGGAAUAAUGAAAUAGGACGUUCGAUCCUAUUUUGUUGGUUUCUAGGAUUGACGUAAUGAUUAAUAGGGAUAGUUGGGGGCAUUAGUAUUCAAUUGUCAGAGGUGAAAUUCUUGGAUUUAUUGAAGACUAACUACUGCGAAAGCAUUUGCCAAGGAUGUUUUCAUUAAUCAAGAACGAAAGUUAGGGGAUCGAAGACGAUCAGAUACCGUCGUAGUCUUAACCAUAAACUAUGCCGACUAGGGAUCGGAUGAUGUUAAUUUUUUAAUGACUCAUUC
rnacentral:rRNA from 1 species